UUCAACCUCUACACACCAGCUUAAGUAGUAUAUAACAUAAUACAGUAAACUGCAACUUUAAAAAAGCACCA
rnacentral:tRNA from 1 species